AGAGUUUGAUCCUGGCUCAGAUUGAACGCUGGCGGCAUGCUUUACACAUGCAAGUCGAACGGCAGCACAGAGAAGCUUGCUUCUUGGGUGGCGAGUGGCGAACGGGUGAGUAAUAUAUCGGAACGUACCGAGUAAUGGGGGAUAACUAAUCGAAAGAUUAGCUAAUACCGCAUAUUCUCUGAGGAGGAAAGCAGGGGACCUUCGGGCCUUGCGUUAUUCGAGCGGCCGAUAUCUGAUUAGCUAGUUGGUGGGGUAAAGGCCUACCAAGGCGACGAUCAGUAGCGGGUCUGAGAGGAUGAUCCGCCACACUGGGACUGAGACACGGCCCAGACUCCUACGGGAGGCAGCAGUGGGGAAUUUUGGACAAUGGGCGCAAGCCUGAUCCAGCCAUGCCGCGUGUCUGAAGAAGGCCUUCGGGUUGUAAAGGACUUUUGUCAGGGAAGAAAAGGCUGUUGCUAAUACCGACAGCUGAUGACGGUACCUGAAGAAUAAGCACCGGCUAACUACGUGCCAGCAGCCGCGGUAAUACGUAGGGUGCGAGCGUUAAUCGGAAUUACUGGGCGUAAAGCGAGCGCAGACGGUUACUUAAGCAGGAUGUGAAAUCCCCGGGCUCAACCUGGGAACUGCGUUCUGAACUGGGUGACUAGAGUGUGUCAGAGGGAGGUAGAAUUCCACGUGUAGCAGUGAAAUGCGUAGAGAUGUGGAGGAAUACCGAUGGCGAAGGCAGCCUCCUGGGAUAACACUGACGUUCAUGCUCGAAAGCGUGGGUAGCAAACAGGAUUAGAUACCCUGGUAGUCCACGCCCUAAACGAUGUCGAUUAGCUGUUGGGCAGCAUGACUGCUUAGUAGCGAAGCUAACGCGUGAAAUCGACCGCCUGGGGAGUACGGUCGCAAGAUUAAAACUCAAAGGAAUUGACGGGGACCCGCACAAGCGGUGGAGCAUGUGGUUUAAUUCGAAGCAACGCGAAGAACCUUACCAAGUCUUGACAUACUGUGAGGACACAAGAGAUUGUGUUGUUCUGACCUUUGGUUAGACACAGAUACAGGUGGUGCAUGGUUGUCGUCAGCUCGUGUCGUGAGAUGUUGGGUUAAGUCCCGCAACGAGCGCAACCCUUGUCAUUAGUUGCCAUCAUUCAGUUGGGCACUCUAAUGAGACUGCCGGUGACAAACCGGAGGAAGGUGGGGAUGACGUCAAGUCCUCAUGGCCCUUAUGACCAGGGCUUCACACGUCAUACAAUGGUCGGUACAGAGGGUAGCCAAGCCGCGAGGCGGAGCCAAUCUCACAAAACCGAUCGUAGUCCGGAUUGCACUCUGCAACUCGAGUGCAUGAAGUCGGAAUCGCUAGUAAUCGCAGGUCAGCAUACUGCGGUGAAUACGUUCCCGGGUCUUGUACACACCGCCCGUCACACCAUGGGAGUGGGGGAUACCAGAAGUAGGUAGGGUAACCGCAAGGAGCCCGCUUACCACGGUAUGCUUCAUGACUGGGGUGAAGUCGUAACAAGGUAGCCGUAGGGGAACCUGCGGCUG
rnacentral:rRNA from 1 species